GAUCCCUUGGCUCAGUGGUAGAGCGUGCGAUUCCAGCCACCGGCGCGUCCGCAAGGUCAUCCGUUCAAUCCGGGUAGGGAUCA